rnacentral:lncRNA from 1 species
ACUCCUAAGCCUCCAGUGGCUCCUCUAAUGCUAUACUUGCCUUCUCUAAGGCCUUCAAAGACCCUAGGUUAUGCCGACUUGCAUCUAGUGUUUGAAACUUGUCUAUUCUUGGCUACUCCGGUGUGAUUUUAAGCGAAAUCAUGUUGUGCUUGUUACGAUCCUUGGGAUUCUAGACAUGUUCUUUCAUCUCUAUUUGUGUUUCUUCUGAAACCCUAAUUUCUGCCUACAUCUCCUAGACCUGUACAUUUUUAAACUGAUUUGAGUUUGUUUCUUUGGUAUUUUACACUGUUCUUGAAUAUCUUUUACAAGAAUCAUCGAUUUCAAAGUGUUUUCACCUUCUUCUAAAGUUAGGGUUUUCGGAACUUCUUCUAAGAUCAUGUAUAACUGAUUCUUUAUGUUUAACCUUCUAUCUCUUGCAUAUUUCAACUUAUUCUAUGAUUCUACUACCUUUUCAACUCGCCUAUGUUGAAAGCCCUAAGUUUUUAAGAUUUCUUUGUUUGGUUCUGUAUGUUAGCAUGACUGCUCGUUUAUUGUUUAAGUUUUUGUGAUUAUCUUACUUCGAAUAUGUUCAUACUGAGUUUUUAGCCUAACUUGUAUCACCUUUAUGUGCUUAUGUUCAUCUGUAUGUUCAGACUUGCCUCUUUCUAUCGAUACUGUUUAACCUGCACGUUUGCUAUGUCUGAUUAUUCUUAAUCUAUUUAUAUGUUGAAUAAUGAAUCAUGACUUCCUUUUUGAUUGAUUUUGGAUUCCUAUUUUAUGGUUUGAUUGAAAGGGUUCCUUUAAACCCUCAAUUUCUACCUCUUCUAUUCAAACUGACUGACUCGCGUACCUUAUCUGCUAUGGUACUUUAUUCUUACUGAAUAUUUCUUUAAUUAAAGUUUUUUGAACUCAGUACUAAUUGUUUGUCUUAUACUUACUGAAUUUGAAUCUUUCCUUAUUAGUCAUGAUCUGAUUUCUUUUCUAUAUCUGUUACUUGCUCUUACUGUUUGAAUUGAUUCCUUUAACUUAAGGGAGUGCUUGCCCUAAUUUUGCUCUUAUUGAUUUCGAGUUCCAUAAUUACUAUGAUUCUUACCUUAUUUGUUUUAUCUAAUACUAUAUAUAUAUAUAUAUAUAUAUAUAUACACACACACUCUCUCUCUCUCUCUCUCUCUCUCUCUGUCAUUAACAUAAAGACAUGAACUCUUUAGUUCAAAAUCUCUCUCUCUCUCUCUCUCACUUAAACUUUUUGCUCUCUCUUUGUGCUAACUAUUGUGCUUUCCUGCUCCUUCACUCUUUUGUGUGCAGUCACUUUACUGGUAUGUCCAGAUUUCAAUUUAAGUCUCGAGAACGAUAUGUUUCCUUUCCUCCUCGAGUUUAUCAUGUUCUUGAUUUGUUUCUACCUCUAUUUUUGCUAUUCUACAUGUAAUUAAUCUCUUUAUGUUAAUUAUAUGCUUCCCCUUAGACUCAGCAUGUUUAUGAAUGUUAAGCCCUUUAGUAUACCCCGAUAUGACUCUCCAUUACUACUAUUUAUGCAAAGUAGUUGGCUAUCUUAAAAUGACCUAAUUUUGUAUUAAGUCUGGGGUUCCUUAGCCUUUUAGCACGUUUCUGAUUCUGUGCAUAAGUGAUCUUAUAACUGUGUGUUUGUCUAUGUGUCCCUCAAAUCCCUUGGCCUUGCUGUUUGUGACUACUAAAUCUGCUUUGGUUGUAUGAACUCUGGUUGUGUAUGAACCCAUCUUAGGGGUGUUGUGUUCGGAUUUUUGUUUACUACUCCACUAUCUUUUCAAACUGUCUCUAUUUUUUGCUAAACUAUUUUAAGAAAACCUCCUUUUUAAGUAUUGUUUUCCCACUAAAUUCUUCAAACUGUGCCAAGCGCUCUCACUAUACACCUAAGUCAAUAGGUUCUGCCCCCUCCAGUAUGUGUACCGCCCUGGGAUCCUCUUGAGAACCCUCUAAACUCUAGCAUACUGAGGCUGGCCCUUCCAUACUGCACUUAUUCAAUUUGUUUACCAAGUCUAGGUGUAAGCAUUGCCUUGGGUCCUUGAUACCCUUAGGGAACUUUGAUGCACCUAGACUAUGACAUUGUCUAUGGAAUUUGAGCAUUUGAGGCUUUGGAAACCUGGGCCUAAUUGAAGGCUCCCUAUAGAAUAACUUUUUGUUUUUUUUUAUUUACUUAUGUAAUUCAUUUAUAUGGUUUGUAAUAAUUUGUAAGCGAAUAUUGGGGUAACUAGUGAAAAGGGCAUGUAAUUACAUGUUAGUGAUGUAAUACGUGUAGAUACCAUAUCUGUAGGACUUUAUAAUUUGCUAUAUUUGCCGUUAUUAGUAGAAACCAUUAUGUUAGAAAUCAUGUCUAUAGGUCACAAGUGAUUCUGUUAAAUAUGGAAAGAAUUGAUACUAUAUAAAUAUGAAAAGAUACACAAAUCCUUAUAAUUAAGUAAUUAGGAGGUUUUGUAGGCUUGUAAUUGUAGUUUUUCCUUAUUUGUAUUUAUGUCAAAGGUUAUUUAAAUCCAACAGCUUGAGGGAAUAAUCAAGCACUCUAUUUGCCAAUUUUCUUCUCUUCUUCUUUCACAUGGUAUCAGAGCUAGGGUUUUUAGUCCCUGCUCCAUCUCAUUUUCUUCCUUGAAUUAAAAGACUAUAGAAGAACCGAAUCCUCCUUGGUUGGCUCUUCAGUUUUCUCUAUUUCUUCAUGUUUCUCUUGUGUUUGUAGUUACUGUCAUUCACUUUCAGCAGUUCCUGUGUAAUAAAUAUAACAAUGGGAGAUGAUAAAGCAGUUGAAAAUCAAAUUAUUGGAAAGUCUAUUUUUCCUCUUCACCAUCUCCAAUAAUUAAUACUGUUAAGUUGGAUGGAAGUGAAAAUUAUACCUCUUGGGCAGCUUCUGUACAACUGUGGUUUAUAGGUCAAGGAUUGAAGAUCACUUGAUCAAGAAUUAUACAGAGAAUGGAGCAUCUGAUAGACCAACUUAGGUUAAAAUAGAUGCUCAAUUAUGCAGUCUUUUAUGGAACUCUCUCGACAGUAAGUUACUUAAUCUUUUUCAGUCAUAUAAGACAUGUUGCAGGGUUUGGAACAAGGCCAAAACCUUGUAUACAAAUGACAUAAAACUUAUUUACAAGGUAGUCUCAGACAUUGUCCACCUGCAACAGAAUCAACAAGACAUGGCAAGCUAUCUUGGUCAGGUAGAAUCUUUGAAGGAUCAAUUUGAUUCUCUUAUGCCUUUUACUGACAAGUUGGAUGUUUAGGAGAGACAGAGAGACGCUUUUUUUUUUAUGGUUCUAGCCUUGAUUGGAUUAAGAUCUGAUCUCUCCUCAGUUAGAGACCAGAUUCUUGCUAGUUAAGUAGAAUCUUUAAAGAAUCAAUCUGAUUCUCUUAUUCCUUUUACUGACAAGUUGGAUGUUCAGAAGAGACAUAUUUUUUUAUGGUUCUAGCCUUGAUUGGAUUAAGAUCUGAUCUCUCAUAAGUUCGAGAUCGGAUUCUUGCUAGCGAAUCCGUUCCUACCUGGGAGGAAGCAUAUGAUACUUUUAUAAUGGUUGUACAAACUAACACUUUCCAAAAUGGACCCAGAAAAGGAAAAAGGGAAAAACACUAAACAUUGCACAUAGUGUGAUAAGGGAGGACAUACACGUGAUGUUUGUUGGUUGGUUCAUGGUAAUUAUUCACGUAGUAGUGAUCAUCCUCGACAUGCAAUCAAUGUGGCUCAUAGUAGAGAUGGUAUUCUACAUACACCAGAUGUCAAGGAUAGAUCAUCUCAGUGUAUCACUUUGGCUGGAGCAGAUUAUAAUGAUUAUCUUCAGUACCAGGCAUCAAAGCAACAAUCAUCUACCUUAUCUACAGCUUGCACAGUGCAACCUCGUAACUUUUUUGCCUAUGUGGAACAGUCUUCCUUUCCUGGACCAUGGAUUCUUGACUCUGGUGCUACUAAUCAUAUAUCUGGUAACCAAAAUUUUCUUUCUGUCCUUAAUUCUCCAUUUGUCUUUUCUACUAUUACCUUAGCUGAUGGAUAAAAGACUGCCAUCAAAGGAAUAGAUACAGCUCACCCUCUACCUUAUUUACCUUUAACCUUAGUUCUUUUUGCACCUGAUGUUCAUAUAAUCUCAUUUCUAUUAGUAAAUUAACCAAGAACCUCAAGUGUCUUAUAAUCUUCUCUGAGGAUUUUGUUUUUGUGCAGGACUAGAGUACGGGAUAGAUGAUUGGAAGAGGACACGAGUCACACAGUCUAUAUAAACUAUCUAUUCCAAAACCACCAGUUGCCUUCACUUCCGCUAUUUCAUCUGAUUUUCUUUAUUGUCAUUGGGACAUCCAAGUCUUUCAAAGUUGCAAAAGAUGGUCCCCAGUCUAUCUAGUUUAUCUUUGUUAGAAUGUGAGUCAUGUCAGCUUGGGAAACACACUCGUGCUUAUUUCCCAAAGCGUGUCAAUAAUAGGUCAUCCUCUAUGUUUGAAGUUGUUCACUCGGAAAUAUGGGGUCCAAGUCGUUUCAGUUCUUCACUAGGAUUUCAUUAUUUUGUUACAUUUUAAAGUGUGUCAAUAAUAGGUCAGCCUCUAUGUUUAAAGUUGUUCACUCGAACAUAUGGGGUCCAAGUCGUUUUAAUUAUUCACUAGGAUUCAUUAUUUUGUUACAUUUAUCAAUGAUUAUUCUCGGUGCACUUGGUUAUUUUUAAUGCAAAAUAGAUCUUAAUUGUUCUCUAUUUUUCAGAACUUUUGUAUUGUGAUUUGCAAUCAAUUUGGUGUCUCCAUAUAGAAAUUAAUCUGUGAUAAUGCCCGAGAAUAGUUCUCUUCUUCUCCUUCUUCCUUCAUGUCGUCACAAGGUAUGUUACACUUGUCUUCUUAUGCACAUACACCACAACAAUGUUACACUUGUCUUCUUAUGCACAUACACCACAACAAAAUAGAGUUACAGAACAAAAUAACAGACAUCUCAUUGAAAUGGCUCGGAUAUUACUUAUUCACAAUCAUAUUCCUUUCGUUUUUUGGGUGAUGCAGUUAUUACUGCUUGUUAUUUAAUUAAUAGUAUGCCCUUCUUUAUUUUGUAGUACGAGAGUCCACACUCAGUCCUUUAUCUCGAACCACCUAUGUUCCCACUUUCUCCACAUGUGUUUAGCUGUACUUGUUUUGUUCAUGACCUUACCCCGGGAAAAGACAAACUUCAGAAAAAAGCUAUCAAAUGUGUCUUUUUAGGGUAAUCUCGUCUACAAAAAGGAUACAAAUGUUUUGGUCCCUCUAAAAAUAGGUACCUAAUCUCAGCAGAUGUUACCUUUUUGAGACUUCGCUGUAUUUUUCUCCUAAUUCAUUAAAUCAGAAGGCCAUAUCCACAGUUCUUCCGGUUCCAACCUUUUCGCCUCCAACUCCAGCUCCAGCUCCACCACUCCAAGUCUAUUCUAGAUGCCCUAGACCUAAUUCCCAACCUACUAAUCCAGUUGAUGUUUCUGAUCCUAAUGCAGGUACACAUAGCCCACCGGGUGACUCAUUGCCUACUCCAGCAAUGUCAUGCUUCGGUUGAGCACUCAUCAAAUGUCAGUGAUCUCCCCAUUGCUCUAUGAAAAGGUACUAGAACUACUACUAAUCAAACUCCCUCUUAUACCCUUUUAAGUUAUCAUCAUUUAUCACCUUCAUAUCAUGUCUUUAUUACUAGCUUAUCCACUGUCAAGGUUCCAAAGACUGUGGAAGAAGCAGUGGCCCAUCCAGGUUGACAUCAAGCUAUGAUUGAAGAGAUGAAUGCCUUGCACGAUAACUGUACUUAGGAGAUAGCCCCUUUACAUAAAGGGAGAACUACAAUUAGUUGUCGAUGGGUGUUUACAGUUAAGGUAGGUCCAAAUGGAGAGGUUGAUCACCUUAAAGCAAGACUGGUUGCUAAAGGGUAUACUCAGGUAUAUGGUAUUGAUUAUGGUGAUACUUUUUCACCUGUUGCAAAUAUGACAUAUGUCUGUCUUCUUAUCUCUUUGGCAACGAUGAAUCAUUGGCCUUCUUUUUCAUCUGGACAAUAAGAAUGCAUUUCUUUAUGAAGAACUCGUUGAAGAAGUAUAUAUGGAGCAACCACCAGCGUUUGUUGCUCAAGGGGAGUCUGGAUUAGUCUGUCGACUUCGUCGAUCUCUUUAUGAUCUCAAGCAGUCUCCUAGGGCAUGGUUUGGACAUUUCCGAACUUUUGUCCAACAAUUUGGAAUGACCCGAACAGAAGCUGCUCAUUCAAUAUUCUAUAGGCAUCCAUCUCAUGGCAAAUGUAUCUUUCUAAUUAUUUAUGUUGAUGAUAUUGUCAUCACAGGUGAUGAUCAUGAAGGUAUUAUCCAACUUAAGCAACAUCUUUCAAGUCAAUUCCAGACUAAGGAUCUUGGCAAACUAAAAUAUUUUCUAGGCAUUGAGGUGGCACUAUCUGGCAACGACAUUGUCAUCUCACAAAGGAAGUAUGCCUUGGAUAUUUUGGAAGACACUAGUAUGUUGAAUUGUAAACCUGUGGACAGUCCCAUGGAUCCAAAUACUAAACUUGUUUGGGGACAAGGGAAACCUCUAAAAGAUCCAGGAAGAUAUCAGAGACUUGUUGGCAAACUCAACUAUGUUAUGAUCACGAGACCUGAUAUCUCAUUUUGUUGUAAGUGUGGUUAGCCAGUUUCUCCAGUCGCCUUGUGAUAGUCAUUGGGAUGCAACAAAUUGCAUCCUAAGAUAUGUUAAAGGUUUUUCGGGACAAGGUUUGUUGUAUGAAAACAAGGGACAUACACACAUUGUUAGGCAUUCUGAUGAAGAUUGGGCAGGUUCUCCCUCUAAUAGACGGUCCACUUCAGGUUAUUGUAUUUUAAUUGGAGGCAACCUAAUAUCCUAGAAAAGUAAAAAAGCAAGAUAUGGUGGCUAGGUCAAGAUCAAAGGCAUAAUAUCGAGCUAUGGCACUGGCUACCUACGAGCUUAUAUGGCUAAGGCAACUUCUACAGGAGUUAAAGAUUGGAAGGGACGAGCCGAUGAAAUUGAUUUGUGAUAAUCAAGCCAUAUUAUAUAUCGAUUCAAAUUAAGUAUUCAUGAAAGAACAAAGCAUAUUAAAGUAGAUUGUCACUUUAUUCGAUAAAUGAUUGAGUCCCGGUGCAUUGUUAUGACUUUUGUCAACUCAAAAGACCAACUAGCAAGUGUCCUCAGAAAAUCACUCUAAGGAUCCAGAAUUGGAAAUAUCUGUAGCAAGCUAGGAGCAUAUAACUUGUACGCUCCAGCUUGAGAGGCAGUGUUAAAUAUGAAAAGAAUUGAUACUAUAUAAAUAUGAAAAGAUACACAAAUCCUUGUAAUCACACAAAUCCUUAUAAUUAAGUAAUUAGGAGAUUUUGUAGGCUUGUAAUUGAAGUCUUUCCUUAUUUGUAUUUCUGUCAGAGGUUAUUUAAACCCAACAGCUUGAGGGAAUAAUCAAGCACUCUAUUUACCGUUUUUCUUCUCUUCUUCUUUCACAGAUUCCAUAAUAGAAAUCAUGCUUAUAAGUCUUAAAAUCAAUUUCACAAGUAGAUGACAUGCCUAUAGGAUAUAAUCUAAUCCAACUUUUGUUAUAACAAGUGUUUACAUGUGUUUUAUUUAUCAUCAUGCCUGCAAGUUUCAAAAUCGAUAUUAAACAACUAGAUAUCAUGCGUAUAGGGAAUCAUUCUAGAAAUUCUGUCUAUAGAUCUCAACUAGUGUAAUUUAAAUAAAUCAAUCUGGUUAACGAUUCGCUCACUUCUAAACUAGUUUAAAUAAUGGCUUAUUUUUCCUAAAACAAAUUCUUUCAAACCAAUAGACAACAUGUCCAUAGGGAUUAAAAAGUAUGUUUUGAAACUCGCUUUGUUUCACUAUGUAAAACGUAUUCAUCAGUAUUCCGCGUAGAGGCAAGCCUAUAGGGCGUGUUCAAAUCUCAUAACUUUGAAAUUGUUUCUGUGACUUAAUAUUUGUUCUGGUUUAAACAUGCUUUAAAAAAAAUUAGUAGGCAACUGAUAGUACCAUCACUUCUGAGUUUAUAAAAUAAAUGGCCUAUCUUCCGUGCCUCAAUGUUCACUUAAACAUCAUGCCUUAGGAUACUGUUUAACGAAAGGCCCUUACUUGUGCUUGAGUCAUGUUGUUUAUGUGUGCUGUUUGAGAAGGUCAACUUAAACCUCUAACUACUCCUUUUUCUGUCUUCUUUGCUAAAUUCCUAAUUGUCCUUGCCUAUCGCCUUAGUAUUUUCACCUUUAAAACCUUAGGGGUCUAUCUAGAACCACCUAUAGGUAGAGGUCCUAAAUCCCUCUAGGACUAUUAAGAAAUGAUGGGUAACAGCACGCAAUAUAUACCGUUGACCAAACACUCGCUUUAAAUGACCACUAAGGGGAUGAGAUGAGUAGAUAUAGGAUAUAAUGACUACGCGCUAAUGUCAUGUGUAGCCCCUCAUUGAGGAGUAUUUACCGGAUAUUGUGUGGGGUGAUCCUAUAGGCUAACCAACCUAGGACGUCCUCCUUUCCAAAAAUUCCUUUUUGUUUAAAACUUUGCUUUACAGAAUUUGUUCAAAACCUUUAUCUUAUCAUUUGAAUUAUCCAAUGUGCUUUACUUGCAACCUGCUUAAUUCAACUCUUUAUUUGUAAUGGAAUAAUUCGUGAAUGUAAGUUCGGUCGUGACCUACAGUUGUGGACCAAGAGGGGUGCCUAACAACUUCUCCUUAAGGUUAUUUCGAGCCCUUGCCCUAAUCUCUGGUAAUGCAGACCCAUCCAAGAGUUAUUCGCUCUGGGUGCCCUAACGCAUCAUAAUUCGUUAAUAAGGGUAGUAUUUUAUCAUGGUCUCGGAUCCUAAGUUUUAAUGGAUGAUGGUGACUCUUCAAAUACUCAAUUCCUAAAAGGAAAGGAGUUAUCACAUCCCAUGAAUGUCGAAACCCGAACCUCUCUCCAUUGAGGGAAAAUAAAAAAGGGGGUGCGACAAUGUUCAGCCAUGGUAUCAUGAUAUCAAAAGGUUUUUAAAAACAAAUGAAUAUCCCAAGCAGGCUAGUGGAGAUCAAAGCAGAACUAUCAGAAGACUUGCAAGUAGUUUCUUUUUUAGCGGAGAGGUCUUGUACAAAAGAACUCCAGAUUUGAAUCUUUUGAGAUGCAUAGAUGCUCAAGAAGCUGAAAAGAACAUGAGCGAAGUGCAUUCGGGGGUAUGUGGCCCCCAUAUGAAUGGGUAUGUCCUUGCAAAGAAAAUCCUACGGGCAAGUUAUUAUUGGAUGACAAUGGAAAAUGAUUGCUUCAGUUUAGUCCUGAAGUGCUAUCAGUGCCAGAAACACGGUGACAUGAUUCAUCACCGCCUUCAAAGUUACAUCCUAUGUCAGCGCUUUGGUUGUUCGUUACUUGGGGCAUGGAUGUUAUUGGGCCAAUCCAGCUGAAUGCUUCAAAUGGACACAAAUUUAUCCUGGUCUCCAUUGAUUAUUGCACAAAGUGGGUUGAAGCAGUCACUAAAAAACAAUGGUGGACUUUGUGCAUUCAAAUAUCAUUUAUUAUUUUGGUAUUCCUAAAACUAUCAUUACAAACGUUGCUGCAAAUCUGAACAACCACUUGAUGAGGGAGGUAUGCGAAUAAUUUAAAAUUGCGCAUCAUAGUUCUACCCCUUACCGGCCCAAAGCUAGCUCCGUUGAAGCUGGAAACAAGAACAUUAAGAAGAUCCUCAGGAAAAUGGUUCAGAUCUCCAGACAAUGGCAUGAGAAAUUACCAUUUGCACUAUUAGGUAUCACACAACCGUGCGCACAACUGAAGCUGCAAUACCCGCAAAAGUAGAGAUUCCUUCUCUUCGAAUUGUCGUUGAAGCCGAGAUCGAGGAUGAUGAAUGGGUCAAAACCCAAUUGGAACAGCUAACUAUGAUUGAUGAAAAAUAGAUGGCCGCGGUUUGUCAUGGUAGUUGUACCAACAAAGAAUGACCCGUGCCUAUAAUAAAAAAGUGAGGCCAAGAAAAUUUGAAGUGGGGUAACUCGUUCUGAUACGUAUUCUCCCACAUCAUGAAGAAACCAAAGGAAAACUUGCUCCGAAUUGGAAAGGUCCGUACAUUAUAAGAAGAGUGCUUCCAAAAGGAGUGUUAUAUUUGGGAGACAUUCAAGGAAAUAAACCCGAAGCAACUGUCAAUGCAGAUACGGUCAAAAGGUACUGCGUUUGACCCGCUUCAUAGCUUUAACAUAUUCCGAUUGGGAUAAAGAAGACUUUCUUUAUCGCUAUCCAAAUACUACCAACCCUUUUACCAACUCUUUGCGCCGGUGACCUUUCUUUAAUUACCCUCUUUGGAACCUGAAAGUGUUAAAAGAAUAAUGAAAAUAAAAAUAAAAGAAAAUGAAAUAAAAAUAAAUUAAAAAACAAAAGUUACUUGAACUACAUUUGACUUGAUUCCGAAAGGACACAUAGGAAACCUCUCUCUUAGGUUCAGUCGCACCAAAACAAAAAUCCAAAUUCCCCAAAAAAUGAAACUGGGCCAGAUGUUAUAAUGGAAUGGUUUUUGCCUGAAGGUUCCAAAGUUGUAAUUUAAUCCAAAUGCUUUGUACCCCAAAAUCCUGUUCAAGUCUUUCUGAUCAAUCGGCAAAGAGGUUAAAAACAGGAGGGUACAGUUACUUGGAUAUGAUGCAUUCAAAUGAGAGAGCCCUAUUGGUAAAACUCCUCAUGGGCGUUGUAAGGCGAUGGUAAACAGAGAAAUUAAAAUGAGAGAGUCAUGUUAGUUAAAACUCGCAAAGAGCACUAUAAAGUGAUGGUGAGAAGAGAAAUGAGAGAGGUCAGUUGGUGAAAAGCCGUAAAGGCAUCACUUGUCAAAAAGAGGAUUCCCAUAGAGUAUGGCAUCGACACAGUCCUAGGCAAGGUUUCUCAGUUUCAAGGCAAAAAUUGUGAUGGAUUUUUGAGAGUUGGAUAGUUUACACAGAUCAGACAUUCAUUCCAAAAGACAUGUCAUGUUAAUUGAAGUUCACAUGUACUCGAGAUAAGUCUUUCUUUCCUUCCCCCCAAAAGGACACCUCUUGUCUAAUUCAUUAUCCAUUCCAUUAUCUGUUUUUCAUUGAAUCCCUUUCGGUCUAAAUCUGUUCCGAAACUGAGGUGAAGAAGGGAUGACAAGAUUGAUUUACAGGGCUUUUGUUUGAUACAAGCUAAUAUUCAAGAAGACACCCAUCCUCGGCAGGGGCAUCGAGUCGACUCCGACUGGCCAUGAUGGCUGAUGCUUUAAAGUCAAAGACUCUUGAAAGAAGAAAAUUAAAGUCAAAUGCCCACAAAGGCAAAAUAAAGUUGAAAAUGUUAAGUCUCACAUGACUCACCGUCAUGGUAAAGUUUGAAAAAGCCAAAGGUUUCUCUGGCGCUAAAAAUCAAAUCGCUAUCCAAGAAACAACUAGUUGCAAGUUGAAAUUAUCGUCAAAGAAGCCGACCAAUAUCAGAUGACUGAAACACUCAAAUCCGCAAAAUAAACCAUCAUUUCAAACUGACAAAUUGUUUUUUGUUUGAACCACAGAAACAGGUGCAUUCCAAAAGCAACCUUGUGAGAAGAAGGUGCAACCAAAAAGAAAUCGCGCAGAGACUAAAAUAGCUCUGCAGCAGCAACAACCCCAAAAUGGAAGUUUUCUUCAAGUUCUUUACCGUAUUUUAUUCACUCUUAAAUAUUAUAUAUAUAUAGCUCUCCACUCCUUAGUCACUUUAACAACAUAGGGUCUCCGCUCCCUAGCUGAUUUUAUUUUUGACAUAAGGUUUUUACUUCCUAAUCGCUUUUCUAAUAUAAGGUCUCCACUCCCUAGUUGAUUUUUUUAGACAUAGGGUCUUAACACCCUAGUCGUAUUUUCAACCUAGGGUCUCCACUCCCUAGUUUAUUUUAUUUUAGACAUAGGGUGUUUAUUCCUAAGUCGCGUUUCCAACAUAGGGCCUCCAUUCCCUAGUUGAUUUUAUUUUAGAAGUACGGUCUCCACUCCCUAGUCGUUUUUACAACAUAGGGUCUCCAUUCCCUAGUUUAUUUUAUUUUAGACAUAGGGUUUCCGCUCCCUAAUUGUUUUUCUAAUAUAUUGUCUCCACUCCCUAGUUGGUUUUAUUUUAGAAAUAGGGUCUUCACUCCUAGCUGCAUUUUCCAACAUAGUGUCUCCACUCCCUAGUUGAUUUUAUUUUAGACAUAAGGUCUCCAUUGCCUAGUCUCUUUUCCAAUAUAGGGUCUCCACUCUCUAGUUGAUGUUUAUUUUAGAAAUAAGGCCUCCGCUCCCUCGUCUCAUUUAUUACAUAUAGUUCAGAAGAUUAAGACACAAGCACAUAUAUAAGUAUGCAAAGGAAUAGAGAAUUUGUUUAUCUUAAAUAGUCAAUGAGAAUUGCACACUUGAAGAGUUGGGGGAGGGGGGGGGGGGAUUAGGUUGAAUACUUGAGACAAUGAGUAUCGCUGUAGAAUUUUGUUCUAAAAAAAUAUUUUAAGGAUGAAAUAAUAAAAAUCUUGGUCAAACUUAAAGUGCUUAUAAGCUGAAAAUUCAUAAGUUGGGGGUGACUAGCUUAUGACUUUUGGCUUAUUUUUGACUUAUAAGCACGGGCUUAUAAGCACUUUAACUUUACCAAAGCCGUAGAUAAGCCAAAAAAUACUUAUAAGCUAGUUUGACCAGCUUAUAAGCUUAGCAGAUAUAUUACGAAUAAGGUGAUAGUUGAAUUCGAUUGUCAAGUCAUUAUUCUAAUUCAAUUUGUUUGAAUCUGGUACCAUUACUGGGAGGAAUAUCAAUAAAACGUCUUAGAGGGUGUUUGACUAAGCUUAUAAGGAGGUCAAACUGGCUUAUAAGCACUUUUUAGCUUAUCUACGCGUUUGGUAAAAUUAAAAGUGCUUAUAAGUUAAGUUCUUAUAAGCCAAAAAUAAGCCAUAAAUCAUAAGUUAGUCUCCCCAACUAAUCAAAUUUCAGCUUAUAAGCACUUUAGGUUUGACCAAAGUAUUUACUAUUCUAUUCCUAAAAUAUUUAUUUUUAAAACAAAACUCUUUGUAUAUCCAUUUAUUCAACUGUUUAUUAUUAAUUUCAGUACUUUUAUCCAACACGUAAUUAUUUAUUUUUUAAAUCAGUUUCAACACUUAAAAGUACUUUUCAAUGCUUAUAACUACUCUAAAUCAGCUAAACCAAACACGCUUCAUAUUAGUACCGGAAAUUUCUAUCUUUCAUGUUUAACUUAGGUUCUUUAUUUUAAUGCUUCUACUAAUGAUCAUAACUCUGGGUUGGUUGGAUAUUGAAUGACCAUUCUCGCCUUAAAAAGAAGAUUUAGAAUACUAUAAUUUCUUUUAAUGAUUAAGAUAUAAAUAAUUAAUUUAAUGUAAAUAAAUGGAGAUUUACUAGUAUUUUUUUACUGAAAGAUUAAAAAAAAAGAAGCGAAAAGCUAAGUUGAGUGUUUCCUAUUUUGGUAAAAUUGUGAAAAUCAGAAGAGAAUAAAAUACAUCAAAGAAGAAGCGGUGGAUAAUUGUUCCUUAGAACGAAGAAGCUUUGGAACCCUAAAAAGGUACUCCACUUUGUAUCGGCGUAAGACUCUUCAGGUGGCUGUUUCCGCAUACUGCAAUUCCCUCUUUUUACAUCCGAUUCGUGUACAAAUUCUACCCAGGAAAAUAUCCUAGAUCAAAAAUCGUAUCAACGAUGGAUGAUAGCUGUGCGGUUUGCGCUGAGACACUUGAAUGGGUUGCCUAUGGAGCUUGCGGUCACAAGGAUGUCUGCUCUACCUGUGUCGCUCGUCUUCGAUUCAUCUGCAACGAUCGCCGUUGUUGUAUUUGCAAGACCGAGGCUACCGUUGUCUUUGUCACCAAGGUUUCCCCCUAAUCUUCAUUCGAUUUGAUCUUUGUUUCAGAGUAAUGUAUUUCUUUUUAGGUCUGCGACCGAUCGUGUUUGUAAUCUCAUUGAUUUACUAUAUAUUUACAGUUUUGUAUAGGUUGUAUCAGUCUAAAUUUUACCUGAAAAGUUCCAAAAUUCAAGUCUAUUCAAUUGAUGAUAUUGUAUUUUAAUUUCAAUAUUGGUGACGACUAAUGCAAGUUAGUUUUUUUUUCGGCUUCUUUUUAUCCAAGUUGCCUAGGUUAAAAACUAUACGUUAGAGCUUGAUGCCAUUGUUGACACCAACUGUAAAGUUUUUUUUGGUUGUACUACGCACACACCAGCAUUCACUUAAUACUGUUUUUACAUCAAUUUCUUACUUUACUAAUGAAAAAAGGUUCAAAAUGAUGUACUUAGUUUCUUUUAUAUGUAGGAGCUAUCAUUGAGUUUGGGAUCUAAAAAGUCGCAAAAAGUCUGUCUUUCUAUAGACCAGUCUAGUGAUUACUAUAAUUUUUGAUUUGUGAACUAGGUUGACGGUGAAAAAAAAGAACUAGGUUAAUCCGUCAAGCUUUUACUUAACAAUUGCAUGCGUCAUUCUUUUGAAUUCCUUGUCCAAUAAAGUGUUUGGUUCAUUCUCUUGAAUUGCUCUUGUAUUUAUUUCAAACUUAUCUUUGCGUAGCUUCAGAAGAAUGAUGUAUUUUCUUUUUAGUUUGGUCUCUUUGUACUCAUUUUUUUAUAAGGUGUACUCAUUUUCUUUUUAUAGGUAGUGAUCCCUUGUGUUUGGGUCUGCUGAAAACUAUGAAUAUACAUUUCUAGGGAUUUCGAUCUGUCAAAACUCUAUUGAAUUGUUGUAUGAUUUUGGUUUUAUGACUUUGAAGAUCCUUGGAGGGUGAUUUUCUUCUUUUUCGUUACUUCUUUUGACCCUUUUCUUUGUUGCAGGCUCUAGGAGAGUAUACAAGGAUAAUUAGUGACUUUACGGUAUUUCCAUAUGAACCAAAAGAAGGUCGAAUUGGUUCUUAUUGGUAUCACGAGGACGCCCAAGCUUUCUUUGAUGACUUAGACCACUACAAGAUGAUCAGGGCAAUGUGCAGGCUUUCUUGUAGUGUGUGUGAUAAGAUGGAGGGGCCGGAUGGUGAUGGCAUGAAGAAAAGAGCGAGGUUCAGAAAUAUUGAGCAGUUAAAGGGUCAUUUAUUUCACCAGCACAAGUUGCUCAUGUGCAGCUUGUGUUUGGAAGGAAGAAAGGUCAUUUUCUGCAAUAUCUGAUUCAGCUUUUAUCUGUUCCAUUCCUUUUUUCAUAAGAAUUUUAUGAUGUGAAAGGGAAGAAUCACGCUUAAAGAUGCAUACGCACAGUAGAUAACUCAUACGUAACUCUCUAUUCUAUAUGAAAGCGCAACUGGUCAUCUUACACUAGUUGAUAUGUCAUGUGUUCCAGAAAUAUAUAUUAAGUAAAAAGGUCGCAAUAUUUCCCUUGCUACAAUAUUGACUAAGUUUAUUAUAUCAUAUUUGGUAAUAUUUCAUUUUCGUUUUAUAGUAGAAUAAGUACUUUGUUAGGGUUAGAGAAUAACUAAACUGUAUAGUAUGUAGUCUAAGAGUCCUAUAUAAGAAGACUCCUAAAUAAGGAGUUCGUGUUGUACGUUUUGUUCUGUAUUGUCUUCAUAAGUGAAGAGGUACUUCGGAUAUGCUACUAUUGGUCUCUUCCCUUUUGAACUUCCCGUCUAAUAGCAUAUCUCGACGUUCUAGGUGCAUGUCAUGGGUGUAAAUCGCAUAUCAUAACACAACCUAGUACACUGCACACUACAACUGAUAUGACACCUACAGUAAAGUUGUAACAGAAAAUUGACGUCUUCUUCUGUACUAUUGCAGUUGAAACACCGUGUGGUUGAAACACCAACUUAUGUUGACCUUUGCCUUUUCCGUUGUUCUCUGCUAUAAGGAUAGAUUAUCAUGCUGUUGUUCAUGCAAAAAAACAACAACAACAACAACUACCCAGUCUAUUCACACCAGGUGGGAAUAGACUGGGUAGUUGUUGUUGUUGUGCAAAAAAACAAAAAACAAAAAAAAAGCACUUCUCUGCGUGCUCUGGGGAUUUACAUGCAAGAAAGAGAAGGGGGGAGUCGCCUCAUCCCUCCUUAUCAGUAUCGCGGAGCAUUCCGUCCAUCUGACUUUAUGAUAUCUAAAUGUUUUUAUCUACACGCGAGACUUUUUCCCAGUAGAGUAACGCUAGCAGGUUAAACUCCUCCCCCCUCCUGAAGUUUAGGUCUUACAGAAUUUCCCCUCCAUGUUUCCUCUAUCUGCCAGUAUGGGAUGCUGAAAAUAAUCAUAAAUAUUUCGGUUAUUGGGUCAUCUUGAUGUGUCUUUUUUUCCAUAGAUCUAUUCAGAAUAUAACCUAGCUGUGAAGCCCCUUAAUUAACCCCUCAUCACUGCUUGGUCAUAAUCUUGCUAGUGUUCUAUAAUAAGUAUGACUAGUGGAAGAUUGGAUCUUCGUGCCAUAUACGCCUUGAAUUUUCCGAAGAAGGUUGUAGUAUUUCUAUUGACCUAGACAAUUUGAUGGUAGAUAUGCAGAAAUGAAUCUCCACCUCUCUAAACCCAUUUGUUCCAUUUUGAAGUCCAAAAUCAUAGUUGAGCUUGUAAUAUUGCCUUUUCCCGAUUCAGUUUGCAAAGUCGACCACCACAUUUUCUUGAUUAAAAAAAAAUAGAUCCACCUCAUGUCUAUCCUCCAGUAGACUCCUGUUUUUGACCAGUGCCGUAUCUAGCACUUUCCUUCCACAAAAACCUUAUGGAAUGUCAAGACUAUCUCUUCUAAAUUUCUCAACUCUAAAAGGAAACACCUUAGCAACAUCUUGAAGAUAACUUUCACUGUACUUAUUGGUAAGGCAAUGAAAGAUGUGUUGAGCCUCUUCUCAAAUUCUUCCCAUGCUAUGGAGUGAAUAUAGUUCAUUCAUGUUUUCCUCCUUGAAGGUGUUCUAACAUUCAUGAAACACCUCCAUUCUUAAGUUAUCAGGACGGCAGGCUUUGUCCCGUUGAAACCCCCACAUCCUCCGAGAACUGGCUAUCCAAUCACACUCUCAUCUCCCCACGCCAAUGUUACUUAAGUCUACACCUUCUAAAGCUUGGCUUCCACUCCAUGUUUUUCUUAUACAAUCGUGUUUACGGAAUCACUAUAUUGCUUCUCACCUCCUCUUUUUGGCAUACUCUACUUCUACUGAAGUUAUAUGUUUCUCCUCUUAUUAGCAAUAAAGUUGAUAACUGGUUUUUUUGUGCAUUGUUGCUUAAAAUAUUUUUUCAUCUUUAAUAAUACAUGUUUACUGUAAGAUUUAUUUAAUUUUGCUAGAUUUUUGUUACCUGAUUGCAGAUUUGUGUAUGUAGGUUUUUGCUCUGUAACUUCUUUAAGUAGUCUUCUGAUUUGGCCCGGUGAGGGUUGGAUUAAGUUGUGUAACUUAAUAGUAUUUUCCUCAUUUGAUAUACAAAAUACUGUGCCUUUCUUCCUUGAGAAAAAGGUUGACAUGAGUUGCAUCAUUUAAUACUAUUAACGCAAAAGAGUUUCACAACCUUGUAACUUAACUAUAAGGGGCCGUUCGGUUAGCAGCAACAAAGUUGUCUAGGUAGGAGGCUGGAUGGUGCAUGUAGCACAUACACCUAAGUUACCAAAGAUGAGAUCCAAAAGCCAAAAAGUAAGUCUAAUCUGCAGAAGUGAAUGGUGGUUUAAACUGGAAAGGAUGCUGUUAACAUCUACUAUCUGCUCUGCUUACUUUUUACUUCAAAUUGCAAUUGCACUUUUUGACAACUGAAACUUAUGAGUUCCUUCUGAUAAUAAAAUGGUAUAUGGUUUCUCUGCCCUCCCCAAAAAGGAGGGGGGGGGGGCACCAUUGUCUAUAACAAAGGGAUGCUCAUUUGAUUGAGUUUGCAGUACUAAUAGGAGAUAGUUAUUGGUUCCUUUGAGGAACAAACACUAAAUAGUUUCUAUGAUGCGACUGGAUGGAAUGACCAUCACAUACGUUGAAGAGAUAGUAGACUGGAUGGUGCAUGUAACACUUAAACGCACACUUUCAUAUGGUAUUCAAGCUGCAGCUGGAAAAUCUUAUUCCUGUGAUUUGGAAUCCUUUUGGGAACCUAGAACUAGGUCUCUCUAUGCUGUUAUUUGGUUGUAAUUGUGAGUUCUAUAAAAUGAGAUUGGUGGCUGAAGCAUUUGUGUUCAAUUUUUUCUUUCUAAAAUUAGGAUUAGGGGAAGAACAACUUAACUCUUCAUGUUUUGGGUUGUGAAUUGGAUUUUCUGCAAACUGAAACUAUUUGCCUAAUUAUGAUGGAGUUGUGUUCUGGGACUUGCGCAGAUUUUUUAUUUCUAGUAAGAGUAAGAUGAAUGCAUGUCAAAUUUAUUAGCAACAUUAUGUCUGAUUUGGUGGCUUUGUCAAUCAGGUAUUUAUCUGUGAGCAGAAGCUGUACACAAGGGCACAGCUGAAUCAGCAUAUAGACACAGGUGAUUCUGAGGUUGAUGGUACUGAAAGUGAAAGAGGUGGAUUCAUGGGUCAUCCUCUUUGUGAAUUCUGUAGGACUCCAUUUUAUGGGGAUAAUGAGCUGUAUUCUCAUAUGUCGACCGAACAUUAUACUUGUCAUAUAUGCCAGAGGUGCGGUUUUAUGUGUACAGUAACAUGAUAUAAGCUGGUUAUACGUAUCAUUGAUCAAUUAAAGCUCACGGGGUCUUAUCCAUUGAUUUCAUGCAGGCAGCAUCCUGGACAAUAUGAAUACUACAAGAAUUAUGAUGACCUAGAGGUGGUCUUACUAUGUUAUAUCAUCAGAAGCUUCCCCAACUUCUUUGAGUGGUGCUUUUGAUGCCAAAUUAAAGUACAGUCACAUGAUAUAAGUUGGUUAUCAUUAAAGCUCACAGGGUCUUAUCCAUUGAUUCCAUGCAGGCAGCAUCCUGGACAAUAUGAAUACUACAAGAAUUAUGAUGACCUAGAGGUGGUCUUACCAUGUUAUAUCAUCAGUAGCUUUCCCAACUUCUUUGAGUGGUGCUUUUGAUGCCAAUUAAAGCUGGUGUUUCGUUUCCAUUUCAGAUCCACUUCCGCAGUAAUCAUUUCUUAUGCGAGGAUGAGAGCUGUCUUGCAAAAAAGUUUGUUGUUUUCCAAUCUGAAACUGAGUUGAAGGUUAGGAUAUGUUGGCUGUGCAGAUUAUAAAGGGCUCCACAAAAGACAUGCAUACUUGCAGAUUCGAAUUAUUGCUUUUGUGUUAUUUCAUAGUAUUUUCAUGGAUGGAUAUGUUUAAUUUUCCUUUAUUAGAUUUCUUUUUUGAUGGCUUUAUUUUCCUGUUUAAAUCUUCAGAGUCACCGAAUUAUUGCUUUUGUUUUAUUUCAUAUUUUUUUCAUGGACGGAGAUGUUUAAUUUUCUUUUAUUAGAUUUCAUUUUUGAUGGCUUUAUUUUCCUGUUUAAAUUUUCAGAGGCACAAUACUCUAGAGCACGGAGGUCGUAUGUCGCGUUCCCAACGCAGUGCUGCCUUGCAGGCAAGUUUCAAUUCUGUCCUUGAGUAAAGGAGUUAGGCAAUCUUCUCCUAAAACCCCCAGGGGAAGAUGUGUUCAUGGUGCCUCAUUUAUUUGAGUUUUCCAUUGUGUUUAUCCUGACAUUUCAUUCGGAGCACUAUGUUGAAGUCAUGUGAGUUAUAUUUUUUUCUUUCUAUUUUUAUGCAGAUACCAACAAGUUUUCAAUAUCGCCGUAGUAAUGAACAGGACAGUCGUCGAAGGGGACGAUCUUUUAGGCGUGAUAACUCUGAGAAUGAACUCGUCAUGGCCAUUCAAGCCAGUUUAGAGGCUGCUAAUGCAGAUGGAAGACCACGUGAUACCUCAAGCAAUAGGAGGGUAGUUUCUGAUUACACGGAAACAAAUGAUGAAGAUUUCCUUAUUGCAUCCUUUGAAUCUUUGGCUACAGAUUCUGUUGAGCCAGCUUCAAGAUAUCGUCAAGCUGUGUCACAAGCUUCCGGAAAUUCACAGCUUCAAGAGUCUUCAUUUCCUCCCCUUGCUGUGCCUCCUGCUACUAAUCAAUCAAGGCCUCAAUCUGAUGCUUUACCCAAAAACACUAUGGCAUCCCGUCUGCACGGAAAGCAAAAAAAAACUACAAAGCCUUCUAGUUCAUCUCCAGCAUGGCCAGCAACCGGUCACACACCCCCAGUAAUUGGUCAUCAGCGUGCCUGGCCCGUGGUAAGUAGUGCUUCUGGGUCUUCGUCUAGUUCCAGGCAUAGUAAGGCAGCAACUGACGACCCUUCUCCACCAGUAAUUACCACUCAGCAUGCUUGGCCUGCUGUUAAUGGCGCUAUUGGAUCUGCAUCAGGCUCUAGCCAGAUUAAGCCGCCAUCAUCUAGUUCCAGGUAUAGUAAGGCAGCAACUGACAAUCCUUCUGCACCAGUAAUUACCCGUGAGCAUGCUUGGCCUGCUGUUAGUGGCGCUACUGGAUCCACAUCAGGCUCUAGCCAGAUUAAGCUGCCAUCAUCUAGUUCCAGGUAUAGUAAGGCAGCAACUGACAACCCUUCUGCACCAGUAAUUACCCGUGAGCAUGCUUGGCCUGCUGUUGGUGGCGCUACUGGAUCCACAUCAGGUUCUAGCCAGAUUAAGCCGUCAACAGUAGAUGGGCCUCCACCAUCUAGUUAUUUAAGUUCUGUUGCUGCUCUAUCUUCAUUAGUUCAUGAAGCUUCUUCUAGUUCUGUUGGUUCGUCAAAGAAUUGGUACCAGAGCAAUAGAAUUAGCCAUUCCACAUCAGCCCCAAACCUUGUUCAGAGUGGGUCGUUUGACUCUUCUGUAUCUGAUUUUCCUCCGGUCUCUGCUGCGCAGACUCGCAAACUUCCUGCAAGAGGCCAGCAGGCAGUCACAAAUGUGGAAGAUGUUCAGACUGCAAAUAAAUCUUUGGUAGAAAGGAUGCGUCUUGCUCUACAAUUUGAUCAAGACAAAUUCGCUGCAUUUAAGGACAUCUCCGCAGAAUAUCGUCAAGGUUUAAUGGAUGCUGAGACGUAUCUGGCAUAUGUCGAGCAGUUUGGCUUGUCACAUCUCAUUCUUGAGUUGGCUAGACUAUGCCCUGACGCAGAGAGGCAAACAAAUUCGCUGCAUUUAAGGACAUCUCUGCAGAAUAUCGUCAAGGUAUAAUUGAUGCUGAGACGUAUCUGGCAUAUGUCGAGCAGUUUGGCUUGUCACACCUCAUUCUUGAGUUGGCUAGAUUAUGCCCUGACGCAGAGAGGCAAAAAGAACUAAUUGACACCUUCAAUGCUAAUUUAGGAGGCACCAUCCCUUUACAGAAUUUUCAAAGUGGUGGCAAUCAGUUGAAAGAUGGUAACAGUUCUAAGAAAGAUAAAGGUAAGUUAUUAAAUGCUGGAAAUGGCACUUCAAAGGGUAAUGUGGCUGAUAAUAUUAUAAGUACUGUCAGGAAAUUGCAGUCCAGCCACAAGAUUCCUGAAGAUGAUGUGGAAGUGUUGUCAAAAGAUGGGUAUCGUUCUACUAAAGCUAAAUCAAAAUCGACUCUGAGUGAAUCAGAAGAACUGAAGUCCCGAGGUGAACCCUUAAGGCUACAAGCCCGUCACUAAAUCAAAAUUGACUCUGAGUGAAUCAGAAGAACUGAAGUCCCGAGGUGAACCCUUAAGGCUACAAGCCCGUCAGAAUGGCUUAUCUGCCAGAGAUGAGUCGAAUCACAGUUCAGGGAAUAACGAUGGGAAAAGCAAGCAGCGGAAGAAAACCUCAAAGUUUCACAGAGUUCGCCUAGGUGAUGGAUCUGUUGAAACACUUUUAAAUCUCAAAAGUUUAGACCCUGAUGCAGAUCCAGAUCGAAAAGAGAUAUCAGAUGAGCAUAGUGACCCUCCUGAAGGUUUGCCUGUGCGUGGUGUUUGGAGAAAUGGAGGAGGUCAUAAGCUUGUAGCAAUGACUUCAAAAGGUCCAAAAAAGUGAUGCAACAGGAGGAAGCGCACAACUUUUUGGCUUUUUGUAGGGUAAGUUUCGGUUUCCUCUCCUUUGAACAUAUUCUUUGGGUAUUGACGCUAGGUGGCAGGCAUUUUCAGUUGUUCUUUUGGUGAAAUGUGUUAAGGAUGGUCUUGAUAGUGGAGCAAGAACUUUACAAUGAACUGGCUAUCUAUGUUUUGUCAAGGUUCCAGCCCCUGGAAGCCUAAAUAUUUAUGGUUUUCAGACACAGCAGUUCUGCAAUAUCCGGGCUGUGGUAUUUUUACGUUUCUUUUGUAGUAGUUCCUUCCUAUUACGCCUCAAAUAUAUGCUAGUGGGAGGGGUUGACACCCCUAAAGAUGUUCCCUGAAAGAUUGGUUCUUUUUUUCUUAACUGUAUAUUGACAUACUAAAUACAACGAUAAAGUGGUUUUGCUGAUCACGUUUCAGUGCCCAUUCUACCUUUUGCGAGCGUAAAGUUUAUGUUUCAGAAUUUUUUUGCGUUUAAGCUCAAAAUCAUUAACCAAAAGAAACAAAGUCAAUAUAGAAAUAAAUAUUGAUCUGAACACACAGCCCAUGCCAUCAGGAGAAGACGGGGAUAUAUCCACAAGGAAAACGAGCUACGUGACAGUUUCACACGACACAACUCAUGGCAUCUAGCAUUGAAAAUUUUCUUUGUGGAAAACAUAGAAUAUAACGAUUGUUGUCCCACCAUGUCUGCAUACAAUAUUUGAGAUUAACCUAACUAAUGUAAUAUUAUAUCCAAAUCAAUGCGAAUCCCCCAAUUCAAUAAAGUAUAGUUGAUAAAUAUAAAUCAAUAUCUGGGUAGAAUGACAACUCCAACUCGCACAACACUGGCAUGGCUACGCAAUCUAAUGCGUGAAAAAAGAAAAAGAGCAAUCUAAUGUGUUCCUGGUAACAUGAGCACCUGUAAUACAUGAAAUGGAAGAUCUGUAGUUUACAUAAAUUUAAAGGUUGUAAGUUAAGCUUUAGGGUUUUACUCACUUUAACAUAGCUUUGACAUUUGAAGACAGGGGAAUGCUUUCAACUUGGAGUAAUAUUAUUCAAGCCUGUUAAGCUUCUGAAAAAUUAAAAGUUUUUUCUUUAAAUAAUAAUAUUUUAAAUGUGCUUAUUUAAAACCCUGAGCUUGCUUGCAUGGCCAGUCCCAAGGCCAGAUAAAGGAGGAAGGUUGGGGUGCCAACAUAAAACUUAUCAAUUCAUGACUUGUUGUUUGAGACCGAGAAAUAGUUAUUAGGGGCGGACCUAGGUAGCAUUAAGGGGGUUCAAUUGAAUCCGUUUCAUCGAAAAAACUUGCUAUUACAUAUAUGAAUUCAUUCAGAAUUUCGAAAAUGAACCCAUCGUUCCGAUUACAAGGCGUAGCGGAAAAGUUUAAGUCUUACAAAAAGAUUGAUAUGUUCGUAUUCUUCAGUGUUAGUACUUGUUUCUUUCUUUGUUUUUCUUUAUGUCUUGCCUACGUACAGAAAUGCAAGAUCCUCUUAUUUUUUAAUUAUUUAUUUAUAAAUAGGUAAAUGUUGAUAUAUUUUUAUUUUAUAUAACUAUUUAUCUGUUUUUGAAUUUCUAACCACCUCAAAUAAUAUUUUAUAGGGAUAUUGUAAAAAAUACACCAAUUCUUAUUGUGGACUGCCAUCGCAGUUCUAAUCUUUAUUUGAACCCGCUUAUAUAAAAUAUAGGGUCCGCCACUUAUAGUUAUUCUUGUAUUGCUUAUUGUAGAGAGAUGAGGUUUAUCGCCGAACUUAUAUAGAAAAGUGGUUUUGAACGGUGGAGUGACAAAAACUGUUUUUCAGAUGCUUAAAAGAUUAGAUAUUCCCUAGAAGCAGUUUGUGAACCUGAUCAAGCACAAAUUCAUGUUGUAAUAUUGCAAAAAUAUUUUUUAAAUUAAUUAAUUAAAUAUAAAUUGACUUUCCAAACGUACUUUUUCAAUACACAUUCAGAAUAAUAAUGUUUUGGAAGCUAAGAGGGUUUCAGAAAAUUAUUUAAGUUCACGCUAGAGAAAAUGACUGACAAAAUGAGAUGUUGAUUUCCAUUUUAAUGUCGUUAGCUAUUCCUCGUUAAUUUGGUUUUAUAAAGGAAAAAUCUUCUUAGCUAAGUCGCUAUCCUAAAAGAAGAAAAAAAGGGACAAAAUUAACAUUUAGUUAUUAUCAUCAGCCGAAGGAAUAAAAAUGUCAUUUGCGUAGUCAUAACCAACAAGGGAAUAAAUUUAUCAAUAGAAUUUCCUUAUGUAAUGUACGCCCGUAAAUCAUAUUAUUAUCAUUACGUAUGAUCCAAAAAUAUCUCUACUUCUCUAUUUAAUUCCAAAGGUUGAUCAUACUACUCAAUGAGACGCAAAAUAAAUGGUAACGGUGCCUAAACAAACGAGAGGGGAAUUUACAAGAAUAAGCUAUAAAUAAAAUCCAGAAUUUCCAGCAUUUCAGUUAGAAAAAUAUAUGUUUUCCAAAUAAUUACUUAAGUGAUUGGUUUUCAAUAUUUUUGCCUUAUAUUUUGAUGAUCUAACAAAAUUACUAUUAAGAACCAGAUAGAAAAUCUGAUAUAUUUGAUACACAUUACAAAUGAACGAAUUCCAGCCUGGACUCCAGCUAAUGCAAACUGCUGCAAUUAUAGAUAAUAGAGAAAGAAAUCAAGGACCUGAUCCCUUGUAUUUCCCUGGCAGCAGUACGAAAGUGAAUUAUGCAUAACUGGAAAGUGACUGCCACAGAAACAGUGCACACAGUGCAGCAGUUUUACAGUCACUUGCCUUUGGCCUACCAAAUGCUUACAUCAUUCAAGUGAUGUCAUCAAGAGUGUACAAGAGCAUUAUAAUAAAACUUCACUUGAGCACUUGAGAAUUCACUUCAAGCAUUCAAGCCUUCUGCAAACAGUGAACUCAAUUCUUAAGAGAUUGAAGAACAAAGUUAAACGCUACUACAGAUCAGUUCUUAAAUCUAGUAUUAUGUUGUCCUCAGUUGAGUUGUAACUUUGUGAUUGUUCUUAUUUUAAUUUUAAAUAGCUUAGCUAGAAGCAUUGCUUAGGAACCCCUUUGUAAAACCACAGAUUUUCUGAGUUUGUUUUGUGACUAGAGUUAGUCAUAAAUUAAAGUCUUUGUAACUAGUGGGUGACAAAGUGGCUUGUGAUAAGUAUAUUAUAAGUUAGUUGAAUUGAAAUCUUUGUAAUAGAGUCAUUACAGAGUGACCUGUAAUAAAGUGUUUACAAGUUAGUAAAGUUGAAAGUCUAUAAGUGCAAGUCACGAUUUUUAUCCCUUGAAUGAGAUUUUCCACAUAAAAAUCCCGUAUCUCAUUUACUUACUGUUUCAUUAGCACUCUCAAUUGAAACACAUAAAAACUAGGUACUCUACCGUUUAGUGGGACUUAUAUAAACUAACAUUUAACUUCUUUUCUUCUCUAUAUUAUAUUCACGUAACACAAAUGCCUACUUUUAUUUUAUUGAUCAAACUUCUGUAAUUAGGUCGAUAUCACUACAAUUAGAUUGUUCAUCUUCGAAGUUAGUUUAGAUAAUAUUGCAAUAAAAUCGGAGUAUUCGAGGUAGGCCUAAAUUUAUUCCCCUUGACUUAACCACCAGCAUUGCUCUUUCCACUUUAUUUAUUUAUUUUGCAUAGGAAGAAUCAUAAUUUUCGCUAUUUUUACUUGACGUUAGAUUUUCACAGCUUAUAAUCCAUAAUUGAGUUUUUCUUUUAACCUCCUUAGUAAUUUUAUUUAAACAUUUCAUCUUUUUUAAGUUGAUUUUAAAGAACAUGGUCAUAUGAAAAUAACAUGAUGAAAUAUUACAUUUUUCUAACCUCUUGUUUCAUCCAACAAAGUAAUUACCUGCAAAACAUGUCAUAUGAAAAUAACAUGAUAUAUUAUCCUUUUUCUCAUUUCAGGCGAAAUUUUACAAAUUUGAUUUCCUGAGAAUUUCUAUUUAAGUCAUUAACUCAAUAUAUUGUUUUCCUUUUCACUAAUCAUAAAACAUUUGUCCCAGUAAUAGAUUUAUUUCCUAUUAAGAUAAUAAGAUCAAUGUCUAGCAAAUAUUUACUUAAAUUAUAUAUCAAAUAGGAUAAAAUCCGACUCAUUUGUUUCAAGAGGAGAUAAACUUUAAUUUUGUUGAAUCGAUUAGACACGGAUGAAAUAGAUUACUAUACUGAAUGCUUACUGCUACUACUAAUAGUCUAAUACUACUAUUUCUACUUUCUUAAGUAUUAAUUUUAACUCCAACAUUUAGGUAAAUAUCAUCAUACGCAUUUGUAAAUUCAUCCGUCAAAGCUAAUUUAGGUCGUUUUCAAUAAAACCCAAAGGAAUAUUCAAGUUAACAUUUUGCUUUCACACAUAUAUAUGUAGCCUCUCGAAUAAAUAAAUAAAUAAAUUAUGUAUACUGAUAAAUGUAAUUUUUUUACAAUAUUAAUGCAAUUUAAAUUUGAUAUAACAAAUUCUGUCGUUCUGAUGGUAAGCAGCCCCCACUUCCAACCGAGAGGUUGUGAGUUCGAGUCUCCUCAAGAGCAAGGUGAGAAGUUCUUNNNNNNNNNNNNNNNNNNNNNNNNNNNNNNNNNNNNNNNNNNNNNNNNNNNNNNNNNNNNNNNNNNNNNNNNNNNNNNNNNNNNNNNNNNNNNNNNNNNNNNNNNNNNNNNNNNNNNNNNNNNNNNNNNNNNNNNNNNNNUAAGGGUAGAGGUGAGAAGUUCUUGGAGGGAAGGAUGCCGGGGGUCUAUUUGGAAACAGUCUCUCUACCUAAGGGUAGGGGUAAGGUCUGCAUACAUAGUAUCCUCCCCAGAUCCCACUAAGUGGGAUUAUACUGGGUCGUUGUUGUUGUCGUAAAUUCUGUCGUUCUACUUGAUAUAAAAAGUUACUACCAGUUAUUUUACAUCAGCAUAACUUAAACUUAAAAAUAAAAAGGAAAACUUAAAAAUAAGAGACUUGACCACCACCUCACCUAUAAAUAUCCAUCCUUUUAAUUAGCCCCUCUUCAAUAUUAUCUCCAUGUUGUCUCCCAUGGCUUCAUUUUAUAAAACAGUUCUCUUUACCUUCUUUUUGUUCUUAACCUCUGCUUCUUCAUCUUCAUCUUCUACUUAUUAUUUUUCAAACGUAAUUGUGAAUUCAACAGCUGAGUUUAUUAACCAUACAGCAAUAUCCGAAUUUCGGAUACUGAACCGAAGAGUUUUAACCAAAUGCCCCGAUCCGAACCCGUAUCUCAGUAUAACUACAGCCUCAAAUUCAAGCCUUUCUGAUGAAGGCUUUGUUACAGUUCAUGUUUCUGGUGUUCUUCUUCCUUCUAAAGGCGAUUGGGUUGGCAUGAUCUCUCCUUCGUAUUCUGAGUAAGUUAAAAAAAAGAAAAUAAGUUAUAUAUACUGAUACUAUAAAUAUUAGUAGUAAAUUUUUAUUGUAGUUUAACAUGCGAUAGCAUAUUAAUUAGUAGUACUAUUUAUUUUACCAAAUUACCAGGUAGUGUUUAAUUGAAAAUUUACCUAUAAUUACAUUUUAAAUGGAUUGUGUAAGUUUUCUUAACAUUAUCCGUGCAUAGAAAACUCAAAAAUCAAGAAAAAAGAGACUAUGUUUUAUUUUAUUUUUUAAAAUUCUUUUAGACGCUAUAUUCAAUAGCAUGUUCUGUUUUUCUGUAGUAUGAAUGUAGAUUGUUGUUGUUGAAAAAAUCUCUCUUUUUCCCGAAUUAGAAGAAUUAUGAUUACCUUUUAUCAUGGUUUCAAAAGUACGUUUAAAUUAUACAUGAAUAUUUGAGGUUCAUAACAUUUUUUCCUUUAUUAUUGCCGGUGGGUCAUUAAUUAAUCUUUACCAGGAAAUUAAAAUUCAAAAUACGAACGCGUGAUAGAGGAAGACAUAAAAAUCAACCAAGUGGUCCAGUACUCUUGACGAAGAGAAAGUAAACUACUAAUUAUUUGCAAUAAAAAGGAAAAUAGAACAUAGGGAGCAUGUGAACAAUGUAAGAGGUGAUAUAAAAAUAUAUGUUGUUUAUUUCUUACUUUAUUGUGUUCUCUUUUAUAGUAUAUAGUUAAGGUAUUUAUUGACAUUGGGUUGUUAUACCCAUGUUUUCAGCGUAUCAAGUUGCCCUUUUAACGCCAUACAAUAUCAACAGACUGGUGAUCUCUCUCAACUUCCACUCCUUUGCCAUUAUCCUGUCAAGGUAUGCAUGUUCGCUAUAAUAAAAUUUCAGAUAUUAAUUAUAUAUAUAGUGAUCAAAUUACCCUAUAAUAAUAUCACUAUAAAAGUCAUAUUUUUCCCAAAAUUAUUUUUAUAUUGUAAUAUUAAUAAUACUUUACUAUAUAACCUAAAAAUAUGAAACAAACAAGGCUAUUGUCAUGUAUAUUACAAUCUUUAAAGCUCACCCAUUCUGGAAAAGAUAAUAAUAUUACUUCAUCCGGUCCAAAAUAAGUGAUUUUUUGAAUAUUUUCACACAGAUGAAGAAAUCUAUUUUUUAGUAUUAAUUAGUAAUGGAAUUAAUCAUAUUAAUUUUUACUAUCUCAUAUAAAUACUUUUAAUACAUAUUCCAACACUAUUUACUCUAAGAAUAAUAUAGGAAAAAUAAUUAUUUUAGAUCAUAAAAAGAUUAAAAAGUUAUUUAUUUUUAGAUUGGAGAAAGUGGAAGAAAAGGAUGAGAUGAGAUGAGAGAUGAAGCAAACAACGUGGCAUGAGGUGUCUGGUAAAGUAGUGGGAAUAUGCUUACCACUUAAGAGUAGCAUUUAAGAAAGUGUGGGAAGUGGUGUCACACCCAUAAGCGUACGUACCACCUUGAAAUUGAAAUAAAUGAGUCAUGCAAUACUGCCUCCUUAACUAACUAGGUAUGCAUAUAUUUUGACUUACAUUCAUUCGCCCCCACUGCCCACUUGUUAGGACAUGUUAAAAUGGAUGGAUUGAACUGAUUUUGGACCAAUUAAAAUAGGUUGAGUUAAUAGGGAUUUAUAUAUAGGAUAUUGUAAAAAGGCAUGAUUUUAGGAGCAUAUAUUCCUUUUUCUUUUUUUUCCUCUUCUCUUUUCUAGUGUUCUGUUUGGUUGCAUAUCUUUCACCAAAGUCAUAGCUUCUUCGUUGCCUAUUUAAUUUUUUUCUCUUCAUUUCCAUCUCUUCAUUUGGCUCCAUUUGGUCUCUGAACCUUGAAGACUAUUCUAGGAUAUUGGAUAUUCCUGUCGUUUCACCUUAUUUUAAGCAAGGAAACAAACCUUAAGUUUCUUAUAGAGAGUAUUAAAUCAUUUGCAUGACAACUCACUGAACCGCUUAUGAGCAUUAACAGUCUCAGUCAGUUACUAUCAUCUUUUACAUUGUCUAUGGAUUAUCGUUAUUAUAAGAACAGUAAGGUUUCAGUAUAUUUUAUCAUGCCCUCUCACCACCCAUGUCCUAGAAAAAAAGGGAAAAAUAAAUUAUCACAAUAACAAUCAAUACAUAUAAAUCGUUCUUGCCCUUUCCAAAUUUGCGGUACUCCCAAAAUUGAAAUUUUGAAUAUUAAGAAUUGAUUAAAUUUAGUAUGCUUAACUUUUUUUGACACAAGAUUGUAGUUUAAUUGUAGUAUAAAUAUAACAAUACAACUUUAUACAAUAGUUAAACUGAUUUUGUAGUUUAUUUGUAGAAGUUGUAUCUACAAACUGAAUACAUUGAAUUUUAAUAUUCCAAUUCUCAUUUCAAUUGUAGCAUAAUUGGAAUUUUCAAUAUAAUUGUAGAAGACUUGUAGAAGUUUUAGUCUUCCCAAUCUACAAUUUAUCUACAAAUUAUAUACAUUUUAUCUACAAUUCUACAGUUUAACUACAAUUUCUGAAAAAAUAUGUUUUCUUCUUCUUCGACGCGUUUCAAGAUGAAUUCAGUCAAAACCAAGUCUAAUCUUCACUAAAACCCCUCAAAAUUGAGAUAUAAACUCCUANNNNNNNNNNNNNNNNNNNNNNNNNNNNNNNNNNNNNNNNNNNNNNNNNNNNNNNNNNNNNNNNNNNNNNNNNNNNNNNNNNNNNNNNNNNNNNNNNNNNNNNNNNNNNNNNNNNNNNNNNNNCCAAUCCAAGGGAUUUUCAAUUGUAGCAUAAUUGGCAUUUUCGACAUAAUUGUAGAAGACUUGUAGAAGUUUUAGUUUUCCCAAUCUACAAUUUAUCUAUUUUUUAUCUACAAUUAUCUACAAUUAUACAAUUUAACUACAAUUUCUGAAAAAAUAUGUCUUCUUCGUUCGACGAGUUUCAAUCUGAAAUUCAGUCAAAACCAAGUCUAAUCUUCACCAAAACCCCUCANNNNNNNNNNNNNNNNNNNNNNNNNNNNNNNNNNNNNNNNNNNNNNNNNNNNNNNNNNNNNNNNNNNNNNNNNNNNNNNNNNNNNNNNNNNNNNNNNNNNNNNNNNNNNNNNNNNNNNNNNNNNNNNNNNNNNNNNNNNNNNAACAUAUUUCAAAUUAUUUACAACAAUACCCAAUCCAAACAAAUAAUGAUUUUUGAAAAUCCAAAUUUGAAUUCAAAGCUUUCAAGCUUUUUAACGGCUGUCAAUGGUGGAAAAUAUAUGGAAAAGGAGAGAAUUACGCUGCAAUGGAUUUCUUCCGUUUUAAAUUUCAAAAUUAAUGGUGAUAGAAUCACCAUUAAAUCUGAUUCCUACAAAUGUGGAGCCUUUUUAGGGUAAAAUCUAUCUAUUUUUGGUUUGGUACAUAUUUUGUAGGAAAACUAUGGACUAGGCGGGUAAAUACAAUAUUAUGAACAUUUUUGGUAAUAAGGUUUGCUAUAUGGUAUAAAUAGGUAAAAAUCCCGAGUUAAUAAAUGGACGAAUUAAUGAAUCGUCCAAAAAGGGCCGACUAAAAUAGGCUGAAUUCAUAAAUAAACAGGUCAAUGAUCCGUUUAAAAGUUAUUUGGACGGAAAUAAGUUGAGUCAACAUGUGCUAAAAUUUGAAUUAUAGCCCAAUUUGCUUAACUUUUACAAAACUUUAAUUAACAUGUGUGUUUUCUUAUAAAUUGUUUAAUUAUAA